rnacentral:rRNA from 1 species
UACAGAGGUCUCAAGCGUUGUUCGGAUUCAUUGGGCGUAAAGGGUGCGUAGGCGGCGCGGUAAGUCGGGUGUGAAAUCUCGGAGCUUAACUCCGAAACUGCAUUCGAUACUGCCGUGCUUGAGGACUGGAGAGGAGACUGGAAUUUACGGUGUAGCGGUGAAAUGCGUAGAUAUCCGGAGGAACACCAGUGGCGAAGGCGACACGCUGGGCCAUACCUGACGCUAAAGCGCGACAGCAUGGGGAGCAAACGGG